AUGGCCGGAGGAGUUGAGGGAGAGGUGAGGAGGAAGAUUCUGGCUCUGUUGAAGGACGCAAAGGCGUCAAUACAGCAAAUUGAGUUGUUGAUAGGCCACACACCCAAGUUGGACGGUCCAGAUGCUCAACGAUUCGGCAAGCGACAGCGGGAAUUCGAAGAAACAGAGGAGGAAGAAGAGGAGGAGAUCCCUGGCGAGGGCUGCGCUGGAGACUGGCUGGACGCCCUCAAUAAGGAGGACCUGCUCGAGUACGUCAACGGAUUUGAUGUCGGCGACACUAACCAAGGUUCGCUCGUGACCCAGGAUGCCGAUGUCGGCGUCCGUGUAGAAGAUGCCUCGCCCAUGCCGCUUAGUUUUGCUCAUCACGGUGUCCAUGUACUUGGCGGCUGCCCAAGUACACGAACAGGAUGCAUGUACAGUAACAAGCUCAUGUUGGCCGGUGAAGAGGUGCUGCCCGAGGAUGCCGAGACCCAGGACGGCAAUGAGGUGCUGCCCGAGGACACCGAGACCGACGGCGGAGAGGUGCUGCCCGAGGACGCCGAGACCCGGGACGGCAAUGAGGUGCUGCCCGAGGACGCCCAGACCGACGACGGCGUAGAGUUGCUGCUCGAGGACGCCCAGACCGACGACGGCGUAGAGUUGCUGCUCGAGGACGCCCAGACCGACGAUGACAUAGAGUUGCUGCCCAAGGACGCCCAGAAUGACGACGGCAUAGAGUUGCUGCUCGAGGACGCCCAGACCGAGGAUGGCAUCGAGUUGCUAACCGAGGACGCCCAGACCGACGACGGCGUAGAGUUGCUGCCCGAGGAUGUCGAGACCGACGACGGUGAAGCGGCGCUGCCUGAGGAUGGUGAGAAUGAUGUAUCUUUCGUGCCUGACUCUAUGCCCGGUCACGGUGGCGACUCGCUCGAUGAAUCGAUGAUGGAGGAACCAGUACAUGUAUGCAUGAAGCAGUACAAGCAUGCAUGA
rnacentral:rRNA from 1 species